rnacentral:lncRNA from 1 species
UCUCUGAGUUCCCAGAUCCCAUACCAGGGGUUCCCUGAGUUCCCAGAUCCCAUUCCCAGGAUCCCCCAGGGAUCCCCCAGCCUGGCAUUCCCAAGGAAAAGCCGGGAAUCCACCCGGGAUCCACCACUGGCAAAUCCCAUGGGAACACAUCCGGGUCCCGCCAGGAUCCAGCGGGAAUCCUGGCGCCCCAAAGGCCGGAACUGGGGGAAUUUUGGGAUUUGGGAAAAAAGUGGGAGAUGGAGACAGGGAGAGCUCCCGGGAUUGCCAACCAUAAAAAUCGUGGGAGCAAAGGAAAAAUUCCCAGUGCCCCUCCCUGGGCUAGGGUGGAAAAUUUGGGAUGUCCAGGGAUGGCUCCCAGAGAAUUCCUAAAUUCCCAAACAUUAAAAAAAAAAAACACCUCAAAAAUUCCUGGUCCCCCCCCCCCGGGUCAGGGGGGGAAAUUUGGGGGGGGGGGGGGGGGGGGGGGGGGGGGGGGGGGGGGGGGCCCCCCCGGGUCAGGGGGGGAAAUUUGGGAUGUCCAGGGAUGGCUCCCAGGGAAUUCCAAGAUUCCCAGCCAUGAAAAAGGAAAAAUUCCCUGUACUGCCAUUCCGAGGGAGAGAGGGGAAAUUUGGGAUGCUCCACAAAUGGCUACUAAAUUCUCAAACAUUAAAAAAAAAACCCGAAAAAUUCCUGGUGCCCCUCCCUGGGUCAGGGGGGAAAAUUUGGAAUGUCCAGGGAUGGCUCCCAGAUCCCAAGGAAUUUCCAUCCAUAAAAACCCCUGGGAUGUCUCUUCCCACACUUCCCAAAUUUCCCUGGGGCUGGAGGUGUCUGAGCCCCCUCAUUCCCAAAAUCCCAAAGCUCAGCAUUCCCAAAAUCCCAAAGCUCAGCAUUCCCAAAAUCCCAGAGCUCAGCAUUCCCAAAAUCCCAGAGCUCAGCAUUCCUACCGUUUCCCCCUGGAUCCAUCCCAACCCUAAAUCCCUGAUAUCCCAAUCCUGGAUCCAUCACAUGCCAGUACCUGGAUCCAUCACAUCCCAGUACUGGAUCCCUGAUAUCCCGACCCCAGAUAUCCCGAUCCCGGAUCCCUCACAUGCCAGUACUGGAUCCCUGAUAUCCCGAUGCCGGAUAUCCCGAUCCCGGAUCCCUCACAUCCCGAUCCUGGAUCCAUCACAUCCCGAUCCCGGAUCCCUGACACCCCGAUCCCGGGCCCCUCAUAUCCCGAAUUCCUCAUAUCCCAAUCCCAGAUCCAGCGCCCCCUGCCUGCGGAUCUGGCGGAUUCUGAUCCCGGAUCCGGCGCUCCAGCACUGGAUCCAGCGGAUGGUGCAGGGCUCCCUGGCGUAUUUGGAGCCCGGGUCGGGCACGCCCCAAUUGCGGUGCCCCAACAACCAGGUGCCGGCUGGCACCGCCGCGUUCCAGAGCUCGGCCUCCACCUCGUUCCAGGGCCGCGGCCGGAGCCGCAUCCCGCGCAGCCGGGACAGCUCGUUCUCCUCGCUCCCCUCGUCGGGACGCUCCGCGCGGGGCCACUCCCAGCACACUUCCAGGGGCAGCUCGGGAACGCAGAGCAGCGGCUGCAGCUCCCCGUCCUCGACCCACUGGGACCUGCUGGCGGCCAGGAUCAGCGGCAGCGCCUCGGCCCAGCCCUGCCGGGCCGCCUGCGCCGCCCUGAACACGCCCGCGGCCGCCGCCUGCGGCUGCCCGCGCCGGGGGGGGGGGGGGGGGGGGGGGGGGGGGGGGGGGGGGGGGGGGGGGGGGGGGGGGGGGGGGGGGGGGGGGGCGGCUCCAGAAACCCCGCAGCGGCGGCUCCUGCAGGGAAUCCCACAUCCACUCGGGCGCUGGCGCCAGCAGCACGGUCUCGACCUUCCCGAAACGCCCGAAAACUUCUUGGAGCAGCGUUUUGGUCACCUCCGGCGCGGAGCGCUGGCGCAGCGGGAAGGCGUCGAGCCAGCCCGAGAGCGCGUCCUGAGCCACCAGCAGCGCCUGGAAGCCCUCGGGAGUGCCGGGAAGGGCCUGGGAGAGGCUGAUCCGCAGGCAGGACCAGGGGCCCUGCGCCCGCUGCGGGGCGUCGGGGUCGGCGUCGCGGUUGGCAACGGGGUUGCUCUCCCUGCACGUGGGGCAGUUCUGCACCCACUGGGUCACGGCAUCCCCCUUGUCGCUUCCGUAGAAUUCCACUUUCCGCAUCCUGGCCGCGGUCUCCUUCACGCCCUCGUGCUGGCGGUGGCAGCGGGCCAGCGCUUCCUGCUGCUCGUACUUGGACGGUUUCCACAUUAUCCAGCUGCUAGUGGUGAUCUCGGGCAAGACUGCAACCGAGUUGCUCAGGUCCUGAAUCCACUCCCUCUCCAGCGGGUCCGCGGCCGGUCCCACCUCGCGGAUGUGGAGCGUUCCCGGGAAGGCUCGGAGCCAGCGCAGCACGAUGCGCCGGGUGUCGCCGCCGGAAUCGCCGCCCUGCUCCGGCCGCUCCAGCCGCGCCGCCAGCCCCGGGCAGUUGCAGUAGAGCAGCAGCGGGGAGCGGCUCCCGUGCUGCUCCAGCAGCUCCCGCAGCGCCUCCAGCUCCACCUCGGGCACCGAGCUGUUCCCGGCCACCGCCGCCAUCCGCCGGCCCUCCAGGCAGGCCAGCCCGAAGCCGACGGACGUGUCCCGGCGCGCCGCCUUCUGCACGGCCAGGAACCACACGUUGGCUCUGGGGAAGUCGAGGGGCAGCUCCCCGAGCGGCGGAGCCAGCCCGAGGGGGGGGGGGGGGGGGGGGGGGGGGGGGGGGGGGGGGGGGGGGGGGGGGGGGGGGGGGGGGGGGGGGGGGGGGGGGGGGGGGGGGGGG